rnacentral:rRNA from 1 species
GGGAAACCGAGUCUUAACCGGGCGUUAAGUUGCAGGGUAUAGACCCGAAACCCGGUGAUCUAGCCAUGGGCAGGUUGAAGGUUGGGUAACACUAACUGGAGGACCGAACCGACUAAUGUUGAAAAAUUAGCGGAUGACCUGUGGCUGGGGGUGAAAGGCCAAUCAAACCGGGAGAUAGCUGGUUCUCCCCGAAAGCUAUUUAGGUAGCGCCUCGUGAAUUCAUCUCCGGGGGUAGAGCACUGUUUCGGCUAGGGGGCCAUCCCGGCUUACCAACCCGAUGCAAACUGCGAAUACCGGAGAAUGUUAUCACGGGAGACACACGGCGGGUGCUAACGUCCGUCGUGAAGAGGGAAACAACCCAGACCGCCAGCUAAGGUCCCAAAGUCAUGGUUAAGUGGGAAACGAUGUGGGAAGGCCCAGACAGCCAGGAUGUUGGCUUAGAAGCAGCCAUCAUUUAAAGAAAGCGUAAUAGCUCACUGGUCGAGUCGGCCUGCGCGGAAGAUGUAACGGGGCUAAACCAUGCACCGAAGCUGCGGCAGCGACACUGUGUGUUGUUGGGUAGGGGAGCGUUCUGUAAGCCUGUGAAGGUGUGUCGUGAGGCAUGCUGGAGGUAUCAGAAGUGCGAAUGCUGACAUAAGUAACGAUAAAGCGGGUGAAAAGCCCGCUCGCCGGAAGACCAAGGGUUCCUGUCCAACGUUAAUCGGGGCAGGGUGAGUCGACCCCUAAGGCGAGGCCGAAAGGCGUAGUCGAUGGGAAACGGGUUAAUAUUCCCGUACUUGGUGUUACUGCGAAGGGGGGACGGAGAAGGCUAUGUUGGCCGGGCGACGGUUGUCCCGGUUUAAGCGUGUAGGUGUGUGUUCCAGGUAAAUCCGGUU